GACAGCUGAUCUAUGAAACUCUCUCAGUAUUUAGCGGGCGUUUCCUGAAGGCUGAGCGUCUUGCAGGUCCGUGAAAUACUUCUGUAAGGAGCGAGGAAGGGUUACAAAACAUUUACCAGCUUUGACUGCUUUAGUAAGGAAGAGGAUUUCAUUCAGACAACCCUGUGAAGUUUUUCCAGGAAGCUAGCAUCAUGCCGAAAAAAUCAAGUCGUCCUCCUGCAUAUGGUGGCAGACAUCAUCACCGAUCCACCCAUCGCAGAACUUCUUACCACCCUGAUGAAAUGCUUCACUUUUACCGCUGGACAUCACCCCCAGGUGUCAUGAAGAUUUUGUGCAUCAUCAUCAUCAUUUUGUGUGUGGCUAUGUUUGCCUGUGUAGCCUCCACACUGGCAUGGGACUAUGAUGCCAGCGCCAUGGGCCUUGGGGGU